rnacentral:lncRNA from 1 species
UUUAAUUUCACAGGUCAAAAUAAAAAUCUAACAAAUAUUCAGCUUUGGUUUUAUUUUUUUAAUUUCUCAUUCAGAAUAAAUCAAAUCAACUUUCUGCUCCAAUUUAAAUAUAUAUAAGUUUUUAUAAAGAAAUGAUUUGGAUAUAAGUGGUAUGAAAACUAGAUAAAUGAAAAAAGAAACAUAGUUGGGAAGUGUUUGAAGAGGCACAUGCAGACCACCCUAUUGGACCUAAAAUUAAGUUAAAAUAAAAAUUAAAAAAAA